GACGAACGCUGGCGGCGUGCUUAACACAUGCAAGUCGAACGAUGGAGCCUAGCUUGCUAGGUGGAUUAGUGGCGAACGGGUGAGUAAUACGUGAGUAACCUACCUUUAACUCUGGGAUAAGCCUGGGAAACUGGGUCUAAUACCGGAUACGACCAAUCUCCGCAUGGGGUGUUGGUGGAAAGCGUUAUGUAGUGGUUAUAGAUGGGCUCACGGCCUAUCAGCUUGUUGGUGAGGUAACGGCUCACCAAGGCGACGACGGGUAGCCGGCCUGAGAGGGUGACCGGCCACACUGGGACUGAGACACGGCCCAGACUCCUACGGGAGGCAGCAGUGGGGAAUAUUGCACAAUGGGCGCAAGCCUGAUGCAGCGACGCCGCGUGAGGGAUGACGGCCUUCGGGUUGUAAACCUCUGUUAGCAGGGAAGAAGAGAAAUUGACGGUACCUGCAGAGAAAGCGCCGGCUAACUACGUGCCAGCAGCCGCGGUAAUACGUAGGGCGCGAGCGUUGUCCGGAAUUAUUGGGCGUAAAGAGCUUGUAGGCGGUUUGUCGCGUCUGCUGUGAAGGCCGGGGCUUAACCCCGUGUAUUGCAGUGGGUACGGGCAGACUAGAGUGCAGUAGGGGAGACUGGAAUUCCUGGUGUAGCGGUGGAAUGCGCAGAUAUCAGGAGGAACACCGAUGGCGAAGGCAGGUCUCUGGGCUGUAACUGACGCUGAGAAGCGAAAGCAUGGGGAGCGAACAGGAUUAGAUACCCUGGUAGUCCAUGCCGUAAACGUUGGGCACUAGGUGUGGGGGACAUUCCACGUUUUCCGCGCCGUAGCUAACGCAUUAAGUGCCCCGCCUGGGGAGUACGGCCGCAAGGCUAAAACUCAAAGAAAUUGACGGGGGCCCGCACAAGCGGCGGAGCAUGCGGAUUAAUUCGAUGCAACGCGAAGAACCUUACCAAGGCUUGACAUAUACUGGACCGCAUCAGAGAUGGUGUUUCCCUUCGGGGCUGGUAUACAGGUGGUGCAUGGUUGUCGUCAGCUCGUGUCGUGAGAUGUUGGGUUAAGUCCCGCAACGAGCGCAACCCUCGUUCUAUGUUGCCAGCACGUUAUGGUGGGGACUCAUAGGAGACUGCCGGGGUCAACUCGGAGGAAGGUGGGGAUGACGUCAAAUCAUCAUGCCCCUUAUGUCUUGGGCUUCACGCAUGCUACAAUGGCCGGUACAGAGGGUUGCGAUACUGUGAGGUGGAGCUAAUCCCUAAAAGCCGGUCUCAGUUCGGAUUGGGGUCUGCAACUCGACCCCAUGAAGUCGGAGUCGCUAGUAAUCGCAGAUCAGCAACGCUGCGGUGAAUACGUUCCCGGGCCU
rnacentral:rRNA from 1 species